rnacentral:rRNA from 1 species
AGAGUGAACGCUGGCGGUAGGCCUAACACAUGCAAGUCGAACGGCAGCACAGGAGAGCUUGCUCUCUGGGUGGCGAGUGGCGGACGGGUGAGGAAUACAUCGGAAUCUACCUUUUCGUGGGGGAUAACGUAGGGAAACUUACGCUAAUACCGCAUAAGACCUUCGGGUGAAAGCCGGGGACCGUUCGGCCUGGCGCGGAUAGAUGAGCCGAUGUCGGAUUAGCUUGUUGGCGGGGUAAAAAGCCCACCAAGGCGACGAUCCGUAGCUGGUCUGAGAGGAUGAUCAGCCACACUGGAACUGAGACACGGUCCAGACUCCUACGGGAGGCAGCAGUGGGGAAUAUUGGACAAUGGGCGCAAGCCUGAUCCAGCCAUACCGCGUGGUGAAGAAGGCCUCGGUUGUAAAACCUUUAGUUGGUAAAGAAAGUACCUGACCGGUUAAUAAACCAGUAGGGAAUGACGGUACCCUAAAGAAAUAAAGACACCGGCUAACUUACGUGCCAGCAGCCGC